rnacentral:rRNA from 1 species
CUGCUGCCUUCCGUAGGAGUUUGGGCCGUGUCUCAGUCCCAAUGUGGCCGGUCACCCUCUCAGGUCGGCUACUGAUCGUCGCCUUGGUGGGCUGUUAUCUCACCAACUAGCUAAUCAGAUGCGGGCCCAUCUUUUACCGAAUAUUUCCUUUCCUUCUCGGAAGAUGCCUUCCAAGAAUAUUAUGCGGUAUUAGUCACCGUUUCCAGUGAUUAUUCCCCCAGUAAAAGGCAGGUUGCCCACACGUUACUCACCCGUCCGCCGCUAAAA